UACGUAGGUGGCAAGCGUUGUCCGGAAUUACUGGGUGUAAAGGGAGCGCAGGCGGGAAGCCAAGUCAGCUGUGAAAACUACGGGCUUAACUUGUAGACUGCAGUUGAAACUGGUUUUCUUGAGUGAAGUAGAGGUUGGCGGAAUUCCGAGUGUAGCGGUGAAAUGCGUAGAUAUUCGGAGGAGCACCGGUGGCGAAGGCGGCCAACUGGGCUUUAACUGACGCUGAGGCUCGAAAGUGUGGGGAGCAAACAGG
rnacentral:rRNA from 1 species